UCCGGGGAAGAAAGGGACAGGGCUGAUGGGCAUGGGGAUGACUGAGGCCGGCACGGUGCUGGUCAAGGAUAGUGAGAAGACGGAGUAAUAAAGGAAUGCCGGCCAACGGUAGGAUGAAGGGGCAGAAAGGACGUGGGGGAUCACGAAGAGAAAGAACAUACGGGAACGUAAAGGAUGAGGAAACUCGAAAUGGCAAAAGUGUUCACCAGAUUUGGGGCUGAAAAUACUAAUUAAUUGUUAUAAAUAGCGAUUAAAGGCUGGUUUAGUGAGUCAGACAUGAAUUCAAGUCCUGCUUCUGCCAGUUACAUGCAGUGUGACCCAAGGCAUUGAACAUCGGCUUCCUUAGCUGUAAAAUAGGAAGACCUAAUGACUUCACAGAUUAGAUGAGUUAAUGCAGGUAAAAUGCUUAAAACAAUUUUUGGCACAUAGUAAGCACUCAAAUAUUAGAUGUUAGUAUUACUGCCUACUUCGUAAAGGUUGUUAGGAUGCAUGUAAUGUUUUAAUGCAUAUAAACAGUUUCUAAUACAACUGCAAGAAACGGACAGGAACAUACAGGAAGGGUGGCAGAGAAGAAGUGAUUGGUAUGGGAAAGGUAGUGGAGAAAGUACAGGACAGGUAGGAAGAAAUUAAUCCUCCUCAUUCUAUCUCCAUUUCCCCCACCGACCCAACAUUGUAGAAGAGGCACUAGAAAAGCAGAAAUUUUAAGUCCUGCUAUAACUUGGGUUAAAGUCUGUGUGGUCUGGAAGUGUGCAGGGGAGAAGCACUUUGGCGUUAGUCCAUGGCACACACAAGGGGGUAUGGAAGAGGAAAAUGGGAACCAAGAAAUGCACGAAAAGAAUUAGACACAUCUAUAUACUAUUGUAUGUGGUUGUGUUGGAUAGGGGACAAACUAACAAUCUUUCCCUGCCCUCACAAAUUCCCUUGUAGAGCAGGAAGGGAGGGUAGAGAGAUAAAAUUGUGAUAAGAGAAUAGGAACUGGGUGAAGGGGAAAUGUUCUGCUGUAAUUUUCUGUUACAGAAGACACAGGAAGGACAAAAAAAGGAAAGCAUAAAGGAAUUUUUCUGAUUGAGACUGAAUCCCAGUUACCUCAUGUGUGAAAUAUAAAAUGAUGCAAAGACUAUUUCUGUAAAAUAACAGUGAAUAAUUUAAAAACAAAAGUCCUUGCUAGGAUGAAGAGAAUUCUGUUCACUUAAACUGAUUUGCUUGUUUGUUUUUUUAAUGUUUGUUUACUUGUGAGACACCAUGAUCCAGGAAGGAGGGGCAGAGAGAGAGGGGACAGAAGAUCUGAAGCAGGGUCUGCGAUAACAACAGAGAGCCCCAUUCAAGGCUCAGACUCACGAACCCGGAGAUCAAGGCCUUAGCCGAAGCUGGAUGCUCAACCAACUGAGACACCCAGAUAACAGCUGGAAACUCCAGACAAUAAAACAACACCCUGAGGAGUAAAGAGACUGGACAGAAGUACACAGAAGCAAAAUGCAUAGGAAGUGACCAGUACAGAGUGCUUUUCCAUUUUGAGUGGCUUUGACCUAUGGACAAACCAGAAUUGUGGUGUGGUACAAGGUGGCAAAAAUUCACAUAGAAAGCCUGCUAUCUUGGGGUGUCUGUGUGGCUCAGUCAGUUGAACACUGACUUUAGCUCAGGUCAUGAUCUCGAGGUUCAUGAGUUCCAGCCCUGCACUGGGCUCUCUGCUGACAGCUUGGAGCCUGGAGCCUGCUUCAGUUUCUGUGUUUCCCUCCCUCUCUGCCCCUCUCCUGCUUGUGCUGUUUCUCUCUCUCAAAGAUAAAUAAACAUUAAAAAAAUAUUAGAAAGAAGAAAGA